UACAGAGGUCUCAAGCGUUGUUCGGAUUCAUUGGGCGUAAAGGGUGUGUAGGUGGCGCCGUAAGUGGGGUGUGAAAUCUCGGGGCUUAACUCCGAAACUGCAUUCCAUACUGCGGUGCUUGAGGACUGGAGAGGAGACUGGAAUUCAUGGUGUAGCAGUGAAAUGCGUAGAGAUCAUGAGGAAGACCAGUGGCGAAGGCGGGUCUCUGGACAGUUCCUGACACUGAGGCACGAAGGCCAGGGGAGCAAACGGG
rnacentral:rRNA from 1 species